rnacentral:misc_RNA from 1 species
GAUGAAGAACGCAGCGAAAUGCGAUAAGUAAUGUGAAUUGCAGAAUUCAGUGAAUCAUCGAAUCUUUGAACGCACAUUGCGCCCGCCAGUAUUCUGGCGGGCAUGCCUGUUCGAGCGUCAUUUCAACCAUAAGCCCCAGGCUUGUGUUGGGGACCUGCGGCUGCCGCAGGCCCUGAAAACCAGUGGCGGGCUCGCUGUCACACCGGGCGUAGUAGAUUUUAUCUCGCUCAGGGCGUGCUGCGGGUUCCGGCCGUUAAAAAGCCUUUUUUACCCAAGGUUGACCUCGGAUCAGGUAGGAAUACCCGCUGAACUUAAGCAUAUCAAUAAGCGGAGGA